ACAUGCUGGUGGCAAAACAGACCCUGCAGUACCAGCAUUGAGCGAUGACGAAUGUCAUCUACAAUGUCAUCGAGGCGUUGACGCCAGCCAAAUCGAACCCUUUGUUUUUUCUUUUGUUUCUUUCUUUUCCGCGCGUGCCGAACGUAAUUCGGUUCUGCCGACCGUGCGCAGAAGCAGAGAACUUCGUUUUAUCUUUUCGUCUUCUUUGCGCCUGCGUCGACAGUAGUUUUUUUCUUUUUUCGCUUUGCAUUUGCUAUUUUCCGCGCGUGCCGAACGUAAUUCGGUUCUGCCGACCGUGCGCAGAAGCAGAGAACUUCGUUUUAUCUUUUCGUCUUCUUUGCGCCUGCGUCGACAGAAGUCUUUUGCUUUGUUCUUUGCUAAUUGCAAUCGUCAGACGGAGUUUUAAUAAGUGAUUAUUAAUCUGGAGUCUUAAUAAGUGAUUAUUAAUCUGUGAUUAUUAUUAUUAUCAGCGGCGGUGAAGAUGAAAAUACCCGACGAGCCAGCAGAAAAAGUGAUUCGGAAGGCUAUUCACAACAUUAAGAAUAGUCAUUUUCAGAAGACCUCAAG